rnacentral:rRNA from 1 species
UACGUAGGGUGCGAGCGUUAAUCGGAAUUACUGGGCGUAAAGCGUGCGCAGGCGGUUUUGUAAGCCAGAUGUGAAAGCCCCGGGCUCCAACCUGGGAAUGGCAUUUGGGACUGCAAGGCUUGAGUGCGGCAGAGGAGACUGGAAUUCCUGGUGUAGCAGUGAAAUGCGUAGAUAUCAGGAGGAAUACCGAUGGCGAAGGCAGGUCUCUGGGCUGACACUGACGCUCAUGCACGAAAGCGUGGGGAG